UGGGGAAUAUUGCACAAUGGGCGCAAGCCUGAUGCAGCCAUGCCGCGUGUAUGAAGAAGGCCUUCGGGUUGUAAAGUACUUUCAGCGGGGAGGAAGGGAGUAAAGUUAAUACCUUUGCUCAUUGACGUUACCCGCAGAAGAAGCAGCGGCUAACUCCGUGCCAGCAGCCGCGGUAAUACGGAGGGUGCAAGCGUUAAUCGGAAUUACUGGGCGUAAAGCGCACGCAGGCGGUUUGUUAAGUCAGAUGUGAAAUCCCCGGGCUCAACCUGGGAACUGCAUCUGAUACUGGCAAGCUUGAGUCUCGUAGAGGGGGGUAGAAUUCCAGGUGUAGCGGUGAAAUGCGUAGAGAUCUGGAGGAAUACCGGUGGCGAAGGCGGCCCCCUGGACGAAGACUGACGCUCAGGUGCGAAAGCGUGGGGAGCAAACAGG
rnacentral:rRNA from 1 species